rnacentral:rRNA from 1 species
GAACGCUGGCGGCGUGCUUAACACAUGCAAGUCGAUCGGAAAGGCCCUGCUUUUGUGGGGUGCUCGAGUGGCGAACGGGUGAGUAACACGUGAGUAACCUGCCCUUGACUUUGGGAUAACUUCAGGAAACUGGGGCUAAUACCGGAUAGGAGCUCCUGCUGCAUGGUGGGGGUUGGAAAGUUUCGGCGGUUGGGGAUGGACUCGCGGCUUAUCAGCUUGUUGGUGGGGUAGUGGCUUACCAAGGCUUUGACGGGUAGCCGGCCUGAGAGGGUGACCGGCCACAUUGGGACUGAGAUACGGCCCAGACUCCUACGGGAGGCAGCAGUGGGGAAUAUUGCACAAUGGGCGGAAGCCUGAUGCAGCAACGCCGCGUGCGGGAUGACGGCCUUCGGGUUGUAAACCGCUUUCGCCUGUGACGAAGCGUGAGUGACGGUAAUGGGUAAAGAAGCACCGGCUAACUACGUG